UGUGCAGGUCACUUGCUGAAUUGAUAAAUAGUUUUUUCAUUCUUUACAGAGGGGUUCAACACAUAUCUGAAUCUCUUUACACAAAGAGUGGAUUUACUUGAGCAGCUCUCAGGCUUAGUACCAACCAGCAGGAACGUGACCCUUUAUGAGGAGGACAAAAGAUGUCCAGUGCUGGACAUUGGCCUGUAUUCCACACUCACCAUGCCCUCCCAUGAAGCAUUUGGAUCAAGCUUUGCAGAUGAAUUUAGUCUUCUGAUUCAACUGCGGAGCUCACAAGAAGAGGACCGGAGUGUGUUGACUUUGCUGAACUUCUAUAAUCACAUUUUACUCCAGAUCCGUAUAGGCCCACACAGCAUCACCUUCAUCACCACACAGCAGCGUGACUAUGAGUUUUCAGUGUCAGGGCUGUCUGACUCGCAGUGGCACUGGAUCUCAGUUGGGGUUGCAUUUGAAUGGCUGGCUGUGUAUGUGGACUGUGUGCUGGUGGAGAAAGUGAGCUGGAUGUACCCGUACAUGGGCAUCACUACAGAUGGCCUGCUGAUGGUGGGGGGAAUCCUGGAGGGCUUUGAGACACCCUUUGAGGGAGAGCUGAGACAGAUGACCUUCAUAAUGGGAGAUGCAAAUGCUGCCAGGGAUCACUGUGCUCUUCAUCAGCAUAUAUGUGAACCUGUAAAAGAACGUGGGUUUCUUAAAACAGAAAGUAGCACUGAGGUAGGGUUGAUGACUUUGUGUACUUGAAAGCAGUUAUACAAAAAGAUCUUUUUCAGAGAUAUGUAAUUUU
ensembl:lncRNA